UACAGCCUCUACACCCCAUCCUCUGGCUCUAAGUUUCAGCUCUCCUUCCUGUGAAAUAAUCUUGCCUGUGUCAGCAAGCUCUUUGAGCAUGUCGUCCUUUCUGGCAUGAAUUGAUGCUGAACACUGUGAAGAAGGCAAGGCAAAGGUGGAAAAGAUCAUAGGGAAGGAGAUGGCAGGUGUGUUGCUGUGACAGAAGGAAGACCCUGUGACUGAUGCAUGGACAGAUGGUGUGAAAUGAGGUUGGAGCCGUAAGCAGCAGCCAAAUCAUUACAUGGGCUUUGUGGGUCAUU